CGGGCCGGGCCUGCCGGUCAGGGGCAGCUGCUCUCCAGCGACACCGGCUUGGAACUGGGCUUGGACGGUUCGCCGCCGUCCUGCCCGUCC
rnacentral:tRNA from 1 species